rnacentral:rRNA from 1 species
UACGUAGGGUGCAAGCGUUGUCCGGAAUUAUUGGGCGUAAAGAGCUUGUAGGCGGUUUGUCGCGUCUGCUGUGAAAUUUCGGGGCUCAACCCCGAACUUGCAGUGGGUACGGGCAGACUAGAGUGUGGGAGGGGAGACUGGAAUUCCUGGUGUAGCGGUGAAAUGCGCAGAUAUCAGGAGGAACACCGGUGGCGAAGGCGGGUCUCUGGGCCGAUACUGACGCUGAGGAGCGAAAGCGUGGGGAUCAAACAGG